UGGGACAUCCACGGGCGUCCGUUCGUCACGGACGUCUUCCGCUCCUGGCGGCGGCGGCGGCGAAGCCGGCCUGCGCCGUUGAGUCCGCCGCUCCCCCGAGCUUCCCAGUGGCUGUACGUCGGGUGCGAGGCAACAUGGCCCGCGUUAGUGCGCCACGCAGCAGGCGGCUUGUCGGCUCCGCAUCUCAUGUGGCACAGUGGCACCCAUUUCUCUGUGUCUUUCCGUCAAUUUCCUGUGGGCCUUCGAUCAGCUUCGAACAGUACAUGGUUCUUUUAUCAUUGUUCCAUUGCUGUGCCUGCGAGUGUGUUGGUUUGCCAGGCUCUGAUUCAUCUCUGAUUAGCAAGAGUAAAAAGGCUUCACAUCACCAAAUUUUUAUAGCAGCAGCAAAGGAAUGAUGCCUAUCAGACUAUCAGUUCAUUAAGAUAGAGAGAAUGAGCUACAAACUGCAAAUUGCUGAUGCAGCGCCACUGGUGGUAGUGUAUAGCUUGAAUGCUGGCAAGGAAUCACUACGGAGCUCAGGAAUGCCUUCUCCACUUCCUCUGAUGCAUUUCUUCUGAGCAAGCACAUCACAUACUCCAGCGCAGCUGCGUCACAAGGCAGUGUGAUCCUGCCAUCCUUUGUGAACCCAAACUCCUCCUGCGACAUCCUCAGCAGCUCACUGAAGACCAUCGUGCCGAGGUAUGCUAAUGGGACCUCAAACCUCUUCCCAUCUGCCGUGUACACUGCACAGUGGCCCUUGUCUGCAACUGGAGAAGUGGCGCAACAUGUGUCGGCAUCUCCAGUGUCUGUCUUAACCCUUUGCCACUUCCUCGUCAAUUGGGAAAAUCUCUUGGAACUGAUCAUGAUUGGUUCUUCUUGGCUUCUUGGUUCUCAGGUAUUAUGCUCUGAAAGGCUUUGUUUGUGACUUUCGGGUUGUAGUGAUGGUGUCUUGCUAACUCCUGUAUAUAUAGGUGUAGAAAUGGCCCCUGUGGCCCUGCCUUCGCGCAGCUGUCAGGGGACAAGGCCAUGACCUUGCUACAUGCAUUGUUGGCAGCAAAGGUAGACAUUGAGAUUCAGAUUUGAUUUUCCUGGGCCAUCACUCGGUGCACCAUGAAGGCAAAGAUAGUGGACUAGUGGUUGCGCAUCAGACACACACUACAGUACAGGCUGCUGAAUUGGGCAGAGACAUAGUGCAAGAAUACUGGUCCAUCUUGUAUGGAGGUCUUCCAUCCGUUUCAGUGUCCUGUAUCCAGUGAUUUGGAGCUAAGCUGGUCAAACUUUCUCAAAAGCAAUCAUUCUGAAUGAUUUUGGGCCCUCUUUA